rnacentral:rRNA from 1 species
UGGGGAAUCUUGGACAAUGGGGGCAACCCUGAUCCAGCGAUGCCGCGUGGGUGAAGAAGGCCUUCGGGUUGUAAAGCCCUUUAGGCUGGGAAGAAGUGUGCGGGACGAAUAGUUCUGUACAUUGACGGUACCAGCAGAAUAAGCACCGGCAAACUCUGUGCCAGCAGCCGCGGUAAUACAGAGGGUGCGAGCGUUAAUCGGAUUUACUGGGCGUAAAGGGCGCGUAGGCGGUUGAAUGAGUGUGAUGUGAAAGCCCCGGGCUUAACCUGGGAAGUGCAUCGCAAACGAUUUAACUGGAGUAGAUGAGAGGGUGGUGGAAUUUCCGGUGUAGCGGUGAAAUGCGUAGAGAUCGGAAGGAACGUCAAUGGCGAAGGCAGCCACCUGGCAUCAUACUGACGCUGAGGCGCGAAAGCGUGGGGAGCGAACAGGAUUAGAUACCCGUGUAGUCC